UGACGAAGCGACGCCGCGUGUGGGAAGAAGGCCUUCGGGUUGUAAACCACUGUCGGGAGUUAAGAAAUGCAUGGAUGUUAAUAGCGUACUUGCUUGACUAAGGCUCCGGAGGAAGCCACGGCUAACUCUGUGCCAGCAGCCGCGGUAAUACAGAGGCGGCAAGCGUUGUUCGGAAUUAUUGGGCGUAAAGAGCACGUAGGCGGCCGUGUAAGUCAACUGUGAAAUCCUUCUGCUCAACGGAAGAACGGCAGUUGAUACUACAAGGCUUGAGUGCGGGAGGGGAGAGUGGAACUUCUGGUGGAGCGGUGAAAUGCGUAGAUAUCAGAAGGAACACCGGCGGCGAAAGCGACUCUCUGGUCCGUAACUGACGCUGAGGUGCGAAAGCUAGGGGAGCAAACGGGAUUAGAUACCCCGGUAGUCCUAGCCGUAAACGAU
rnacentral:rRNA from 1 species